GUACUCGCUUCAGCAGCACACAUACUAAAAUUGGAACCACACAGAGAUUAGUGUGGCCCCUGCUCAAGGGUGAUAUGCAAAUUUGUGAAGCACUCCAUAUUUUU
rnacentral:snRNA from 1 species